CAGCACGUGACUGACACACGUAGCCCAUCACACCCAGAGGCUGUCUGCUCACCUGGCAAAGAAAUGUCCUCAGGAGGGCUAUGCAGCAAUUUGAACAAUCCUACAAACUCAUUUUGAUGAGUUCUGUCCUCUGGACCGAGCCGAGGAAACAGGCACCAGAGACCAGACCAGAGCUGGGAAAGCCGGACGCGGCUGGCUCCCAGGAUUCACGGGAAUGUCGGAUCUUUCACCUCUGCUGUCCUCUCUCCCUUCUUCUUCAAGCACUGAGAGCUGUUCACAGUGGCCUGAUGUAAUCGUGGUCAUACUUUCCUAGUGUGCCGGCGCCUGGAGUGAAGCUGUGCAUACAAUCACGUGCUGACUUACACGUUCUCUCCAAAUUUCUCAUUUGACAAACUCCC
ensembl:lncRNA